rnacentral:rRNA from 1 species
ACCCGCUGAACUUAAGCAUAUCAAUAAGCGGAGGAAAAGAAACCAACAGGGAUUGCCCUAGUAACGGCGAGUGAAGCGGCAACAGCUCAAAUUUGAAAUCUGGCGCAAGCCCGAGUUGUAAUUUGUAGAGGAUGCUUCUAGGUAGCGACCGGUCUAAGUUCCUUGGAACAGGACGUCAUAGAGGGUGAGAAUCCCGUAUGUGACCGGCCCGCACCUUCUACGUAGCUCCUUCGACGAGUCGAGUUGUUUGGGAAUGCAGCUCUAAAUGGGAGGUAAAUUUCUUCUAAAGCUAAAUACCGGCCAGAGACCGAUAGCGCACAAGUAGAGUGAUCGAAAGAUGAAAAGCACUUUGGAAAGAGAGUUAAAAAGCACGUGAAAUUGUUGAAAGGGAAGCGCUCACAACCAGACUUCUGGGCGGUGUUCCGCCGGUCUUCUGACCGGUCUACUCACCGUCCCGAGGCCAACAUCAUCUGGGACCGCCGGAUAAGACCUUAGGAAUGUAGCUCCCCUCGGGGAGUGUUAUAGCCUGUGGUGAUGCGGCGCGUCUCGGGUGAGGUCCGCGCUUCGGCAAGGAUGUUGGCGUAAUGGUUGUCAGCGGCCCGUCUUGAAACACGGACCAAGGAGUCUAACAUCUAUGCGAGUGUUCGGGUGUCAAACCCCUACGCGUAAUGAAAGUGAACGGAGGUGGGAAGGGUAACCUGCACCAUCGACCGAUCCUGAUGUCCUCGGAUGGAUUUGAGUAAGAGCAUAGCUGUUGGGACCCGAAAGAUGGUGAACUAUGCCUGAAUAGGGUGAAGCCAGAGGAAACUCUGGUGGAGGCUCGCAGCGGUUCUGACGUGCAAAUCGAUCGUCAAAUUUGGGUAUAGGGGCGAAAGACUAAUCGAACCAU